UUCCACAGAGGGAAAAGUUACAUUGUGAUGUGGUCGGAACAAAAGCCAUCAGCUGACCCUACAGGGAGCUAUGGACCUGCAAUGACCCUUCAGCAUUGUCCCAGAUGGAGGCAAUCUAGCUGUGCUUUUGUACUCCAGCAGAAACCAGUGUGGGCUGCCUCUGGGAAGGAUGCACAAUGUGGUUUCUGCAGGACGUCUUAGAUACACUCUUUGUGAUUUUGGAUGAUAAUACCGAGAAAUAUGGCCUGUUGGUUUUCAGUCACUGUGACAGCCUGAUACCUGUUUCACUCUGGAACAAUGCAGCCAACACUAAACCAACAUAUGCGGGUAUGCUACCAGGGUGUGUCACCGUCACUAUGGGUCAGGGCACACCAAGUGCAGGAGGACCAUCCUACCAGUGGGGCUACAUCUGA